ACAAACUUGGUCAUUUAGAGGAAGUAAAAGUCGUAACAAGGUUUCCGUAGGUGAACCUGCGGAAGGAUCAUUACAGAGUGUUUCACUCCCCCGUAAAAAGGGGAGAAACCUCCCGUCCUUUGCUUAGACCCCUCUAAUCAAGGGGCCUUUUUAAAUUUUUGCUUCGGUGGGGUUACCCACCGGAACACCCUCAAAAAUUCUUUGAUACAACUGUUCAGUCCGAGUAAAAUUUUGAAUUGAACAAAACUUUCAACAACGGAUCUCUUGGUUCUGGCAUCGAUGAAGAACGCAGC
rnacentral:misc_RNA from 1 species